rnacentral:rRNA from 1 species
GACGAACGCUGGCGGCGUGCUUAACACAUGCAAGUCGAACGGAAAGGCCCUGCUUUUGUGGGGUGCUCGAGUGGCGAACGGGUGAGUAACACGUGAGUAACCUGCCCUUGACUUUGGGAUAACUUCAGGAAACUGGGGCUAAUACCGGAUAGGAGCUCCUGCUGCAUGGUGGGGGUUGGAAAGUUUCGGCGGUGGGGGAUGGACUCGCGGCUUAUCAGCUUGUUGGUGGGGUAGUUGCUUACCAAGGCUUUGACGGGUAGCCGGCCUGAGAGGGUGACCGGCCACAUUGGGCCUGAGAUACGGCCCAGAAUCCUAUGGGAGGCAGCAGUGGGGAAUCUUGCACAAUGGGCGGAAGCCUGAUGCAGCAACGCCGCGUGCGGGAUGACGGCCUUCGGGUUGUAAACAGCUUUCGCCUGUGACGAAGAGUGAGUGACGGUAAUGGGUAAAGAAGCACCGGCUAACUACGUG